rnacentral:lncRNA from 1 species
GGGGAAGAUCAGAGUGCAAAAUCAACUCCUCAUUGGUCUUGCUGCAAAAAAUGGAGCUACUGACUCACAGGAUUUUGAUCACCUCAGUAAAAGGAGGAUUUCUUCAAUACCUGACUCCACAAGGUUGAACAUCGCCCUCACUCAUUAUUCCCUUGUCUGUAUAACCAGGAGCCGUGUCCACCACAGUCAUCAUGUUAAACUGUACUGGUAGCUCAAGUUCAGCCAGUUACUUUACAUUAUUUCUAUCUUCUAGUGUGUCAAUAAUUUCCAAAGUAUAGGCAUCCAGUCUUAUGAGUCUACACUUUUUGUUGAUGCCAGAUGCAUGACUGUACAUGUGUCUGCCAUAAAAUGUAGGCUGUUUGAAUGAGAUCAGUUCCACAAGUAACCUAUAUCACUUCCUAAAACCAACUUGUUAUCACUUGCUAAAACUAAAACUAACUUGUCCUCAUCAUAACUUACUACUUCACUAAUUCUUUUAUGACCAGAAAGCUUUGACAGCAAAAAUGUAAUGUUUUGCCAGUUUACCAACAAAAAUACCAAAUAUCUGUCAGUAAAAAGAUACUCUCUCUCAGAACAUGGUUUCCUGAGAAAUUUGUGGUGAAUACUUACCAAGAAGUAUUAUUUUAUCAAUUUCAGUCACAAAACUUAGUUUAGAAUGAAGACCUGAGCUGUUUGAACUGCAGUUAUUAUUUUCAAAUAUACCAAAGUCAUACAGCAGUUAAGUGUUAUCUACCUGAAAACAAACAAACAAGUGAGCUUUCAAUAGCUAGACAAAAAAUAGAAAUUCCUGCAUGAUACAGUUUUCAACCAUUCUUCUGGUCACUUUUUCCUCUUUCAAUAAGCCCUAAGUCUCAACUCUCUGUAAGUUAGGAUUAGUCUCCUGUAUAUUCCAUGUCUAAAAACAGGACACAGGUUCCUAAGACACAAAGGUGACAAUGAGUAUUUGCCUAAAAAAAUGAAAUUUGGCACAGCGAACAGCCUUAGUCUCACAUGCGCCUCAGUGUUGGAAUGAAAUUGGUGUUGAUGUGUGAACCAGGCUAAGGGUUUACAUGAAUUCACAGUAAAUUUUGUAAUUGAUGUCAUAACUGUCUGCUUUAUAUUCUUUGUGGUUCUGUGCAUGUGUCUGUAGCUCACAGGGAAUUCCAAAAUGAAUGACACUCCACAGGGAAUAAAACAGAGCCUGAAGGUGUCCUGCCUUUUUUU